rnacentral:rRNA from 1 species
UACGUAGGGUGCAAGCGUUGUCCGGAAUUAUUGGGCGUAAAGAGCUCGUAGGCGGCCUGUUGCGUCGGCUGUGAAAACCCGGGGCUCAACCCCGGGCCUGCAGUCGAUACGGGCAGGCUAGAGUCCGGCAGGGGAGACUGGAAUUCCUGGUGUAGCGGUGAAAUGCGCAGAUAUCUGGAGGAACACCGGUGGCGAAGGCGGCAUCCUGGACCGAAACUGACGCUGAGGAGCGAAAGCCAGGGGAGCAAACGGG